rnacentral:rRNA from 1 species
GGGCCCGCACAAGCGGUGGAGCAUGUGGUUAAUUCGAAGCAACGCGAAGAACCUUACCAGGUCUUGACAUACUCGUGCUAUUCCUAGAGAUAGGAAGUUCCUUCGGACACGGAUACAGGUGGUGCAUGGUUGUCGUCAGCUCGUGUCGUGAGAUGUUGGUUAAGUCCCGCAACGAGCGCAACCCUAUUGUUAGUUGCCAUCAUUAAGUUGGCACUCUAACGAGACUGCCGGUGAUAACCCCCCCGGAGGAAGGUGGGA